AACUAAUCUCCCCGUGAAGAAGCGGGGAUAAGAAUAUAAGACGAGAAGACCCUAUGGAGCUUUAAACAAUGUAGCAAUUACUAUAAAACAUCUGAAUUUCCGAAUUUUCAAAUCUCUAAGUAACAUGUCUAUAAGUUUUUGGUUGGGGUGACCACGGAGCAUAACACAACCUCCAUGUUGAAAAUUUUAAAACUAAGAACAACCCAUCUAAGCAUCAACAUAUUGACAUCAAUUGACCCAAUAUAUUUGAUCAACGAACCAAGUUACCCUAGGGAUAACAGCGCAAUCCACUUCGAGAGCUCCUAUCGACAAGUGGGUUUACGACCUCGAUGUUGGAUCAGGGUAUCCCAGUGGUGCAGCCGCUACUAAAGGUUCGUUUGUUCAACGAUUAAAACCCUAC
rnacentral:rRNA from 1 species